GAUGAACGCUAGCGGCAGGCUUAAUACAUGCAAGUCGUGGGGCAGCAGGUUUGUAGCAAUACAGAUGCUGGCGACCGGCAAACGAGUGCGGAACACGUACAGAACCUUCCUUUGAGCGGGGAAUAGCCCAGAGAAAUUUGGAUUAAUACCCCAUAGUAUAAUGAAGUGGCAUCACUUUAUUAUUAAAGAUUUAUCACUCGAAGAUGGCUGUGCGGCUGAUUAGGUAGUUGGCGGGGUAAAGGCCCACCAAGCCUGCGAUCAGUAACUGGUGUGAGAGCACGACCAGUCACACGGGCACUAAGACACGGGCCCGACUCCUACGGGAGGCAGCAGUAAGGAAUAUUGGUCAAUGGAGGCAACUCUGAACCAGCCAUGCCGCGUGGAGGAUGAAGGUCCUCUGGAUUGUAAACUUCUUUUAUAUGGGACGAAAAAAGGCUUUUCUAAGUCGUCUGACGGUACCAUAUGAAUAAGCACCGGCUAACUCCGUGCCAG
rnacentral:rRNA from 1 species